AACGAACGCUGGCGGCAUGCCUAACACAUGCAAGUCGAACGAGACCUUCGGGUCUAGUGGCGCACGGGUGCGUAACGCGUGGGAACCUGCCCUUAGGUUCGGAAUAACUCCCCGAAAGGGGUGCUAAUACCGGAUAAUGUCUUCGGACCAAAGAUUUAUCGCCUUUGGAUGGGCCCGCGUUGGAUUAGCUAGUUGGUAGGGUAAAAGCCUACCAAGGCGACGAUCCAUAGCUGGUCUGAGAGGAUGAUCAGCCACCCUGGGACUGAGACACGGCCAGAAUCCUACGGGAGGCAGCAGUGGGGAAUAUUGGACAAUGGGCGAAAGCAUGAUCCAGCACUGACGCGUGAGUGCUGAAGGCCUUAGGGUUGUAAAGCUCUUUUACCCGGGAUGAUCAUGACAGUACCGGGAGAAUAAGCUCCGGCUAACUCCGUG
rnacentral:rRNA from 1 species